rnacentral:rRNA from 1 species
AACGAACGCUGGCGGCGUGCUUAACACAUGCAAGUCGAACGAGAAAGUGGUCUUCGGACCGCAAGUAGAGUGGCGCACGGGUGAGUAACGCGUAGGUAAUCUACCCUUAUACCUGGGAUAACAUUGGGAAACUGGUGCUAAUACCGGAUACACUUUACUGCUGAAAGGGGCAGUAGAGGAAAGGUGGCCUCUUGGUCAAAGCUACCGUAUAGGGAUGAGCCUGCGUACCAUUAGCUAGUAGGUGGGGUAACGGCCCACCUAGGCGACGAUGGGUUAGCGGGUCUGAGAGGAUGAUCCGCCACACUGGAACUGGAACACGGACCAGACUCCUACGGGAGGCAGCAGUGAGGAAUAUUGCGCAAUGGGGGAAACCCUGACGCAGCGACGCCGCGUGAGUGAGGAAGGCCUUCGGGUCGUAAAGCUCUGUCAGAAGGGAAGAAGUGUUAGAUGGUUAAUACCCAUGUAAUUUGACGGUACCUUCAGAGGAAGCACCGGCUAACUCCGUG